rnacentral:lncRNA from 1 species
UGUUUUCCAUUAACUGAUUGCAUGUUCAGCAGGGCUAAAGAUCAGGACAUUUUGUAAAGCUCCCUUAUCCUUAAGCUAAGUUUUAUCAGAGAGAUUUUAUACUAAGAUGAGUGUUUGAAAGCAAAAUGAUGCUGCCACGCACAUUACACAACAGAAGUGGGAUUAGCAGGAAUAACAAAAACCUGUCAAAGCACAAAACCGUGGCCUAGUAGCCCUGACAAAUUAAACAGCCUGCAAUGAGUGCUGGAGCAUGAAAAUCACUCACCCUUCCUCUCCUAUCCCUUGGAGGUUUUUAUACCACAGCCAUCAUGGGAGUGUCUUACUGUGCACAAGACAAUUCCUUUAUGCAGACAGAAUGGUACUUUUACUGAUCCCCAAAAGUCUGAAAUGCACAGCUGCACAAUGCAUGAACAUCUGCAUAUUUUUUGGUAAAUAUAUAUUGGCACAACGCUUGAAAAUAGGUUCAACUGUUCACCCCGUUAGCACCAAUUGAAAUAGUUAAUUAUGAACUCUAUCCUAUGAAUAGACAGUAAAGGAGGAUGCAUAUUGUAUUUUCAUUUAAUCUUGUUCUUGUGAUGCUUCCCAAGGGCUACCUAGGGUUGUGAGGUACCUUCCACCAUAUCUGCCCUUAGUGCGAGGAAGUCUUAGCUGUGCCUGCUGUGGAUCAGCUCCCUGACAUUAGUCUCUGGCAACACAAGCACUAUCAUCCAGGACUUCACAGACCUCGCUUUCUCUGUGCAGGCUAGUGAUAAACACACACCAACAACCGGUGAGUCCCCAGAGCACCCCCUGGAGUGCCCAGCCUCUGAGCUUCUGAUCCACUGAACCCUCACAGAACUCUCAGAUUCCCCAUUCCCAAAGGACACACAAGCUUACAAUAUUCAGCUCGGCAUCACCACUUUACUUAACAAUCGGUACUUGGGUAUAUUUAUAGAGAACACAGGAAUAAGAUUAUUACCAAAGAACAGAGAUUCAAAUGAUAGUAAAAGGAAGAAUAUUGGAUACAAAUGGUCACAUAUAAAACAAAAUAAUAACAUGCUUUCUAGAGCCUAAAUUUAACUCACAGGAUAUCCCCUUAUCUCUACAAGAUAGCUUACCCCAAGUCUUUUCCCCAGCAUUUUCA